GACGAACGCUGGCGGCGUGCUUAACACAUGCAAGUCGAACGGUGAAGCGCCUUCCUGUUUGGUGGGUGUGGAUGAGUGGCGAACGGGUGAGUAACACGUGAGUAACCUGCCCCCUUCUUCUGGAUAACCGCAUGAAAGUGUGGCUAAUACGGGAUAUUCUGGGUCUGUCGCAUGAUGGGUCUGGGAAAGAUAUUGGUUCGGUGGGGGAUGGGCUCGCGGCCUAUCAGCUUGUUGGUGGGGUGAUGGCCUACCAAGGCGGUGACGGGUAGCCGGCCUGAGAGGGUGGACGGUCACACUGGGACUGAGACACGGCCCAGACUCCUACGGGAGGCAGCAGUGGGGAAUAUUGAACAAUGGGCGCAAGCCUGAUGCAGCGACGCCGCGUGAGGGAUGGAGGCCUUCGGGUUGUGAACCUCUUUCGCCAGUGAAGCAGGCCUGCCUCGUUUGUGGGUGGGUUGACGGUAGCUGGAGAAGAAGCGCCGGCUAACUACGUG
rnacentral:rRNA from 1 species